AUACGUAGGGGACGAAGCGUUGUCCGGACUUACUGGGCGUAAAGGGCACGCAGGCGGUUUUUUAAGUCAGAUGUGAAAGGUACCGGCUCAACCGGUGACAUGCAUUUGAAACUGAAAGACUUGAGUAUUGGAGAGGCAAGUGGAAUUCCUAGUGUAGCGGUGAAAUGCGUAGAUAUUAGGAGGAACACCGGUGGCGAAGGCGGCUUGCUGGACAAAUACUGACGCUGAGGUGCGAAAGCGGUGGGGAGC
rnacentral:rRNA from 1 species